GACGGCGGAUGCAAGUGUUAUCCGGAAUCACUGGGCGUAAAGCGUCUGUAGGUGGUUUAAUAAGUCAACUGUUAAAUCUUGAGGCUCAACCUCAAAAUCGCAGUCGAAACUAUUAGGCUAGAGUAUAGUAGGGGUAAAGGGAAUUUCCAGUGGAGCGGUGAAAUGCGUAGAGAUUGGAAAGAACACCGAUGGCGAAGGCACUUUACUGGGCUAUUACUAACACUCAGAGACGAAAGCUAGGGUAGCAAAUGGG
rnacentral:rRNA from 1 species